rnacentral:rRNA from 1 species
AUUGAACGCUGGCGGCAGGCCUAACACAUGCAAGUCGAGCGGAGCGGCGGACGGAUGCGUAAGGCCUAGGAAGCUGCCUGGCAGUGGGGGAUAACGUCCGGAAACGGGCGCUAGUACCGCCUACUCUCUGUUGAGCCUAGGUGGGAUUAGCUAGUUGGUGGGGUAAAGGCCUACCAAGGCGACGAUCCGUAACUGGUCUGAGAGGAUGAUCAGUCACACUGGAACUGAGACACGGUCCAGACUCCUACGGGAGGCAGCAGUGGGGAAUAUUGGACAAUGGGCGAAAGCCUGAUCCAGCCAUGCCGCGUGUGUGAAGAAGGUCUUCGGAUUGUAAAGCACUUUAAGUUGGGAGGCGUUACCAACAGAAUAAGCACCGGCUAACUUCGUGCCAGCAGCCGCGGUAAUUC